UAAGGGGACUUGCUGCUCUUGGUAAGGAUACAAACUUGGUUUCUAGCACCCACAUCAGGUGGCCCACAAUGCCCAUAACUCUACUUCUGGGGAAUCCAACACCCUCCUUUGGUCUCCUCAAAUGAACACACACACACACACACACACACACACACACACACAGAGAGAGAGAGAGAGAGAGAGAGAGAGAGAGAGAGAGAGAGAGAGAGAGAGAGAUUAGCCUUGAGUCAGAAGCUGUGUUCAGACCAGUUAGAUGCCCUUGGGUAGAUUAGUUACCUCACUUGUAGUCCAGGCUGGCCUUGAACUCACAAUUAUACUGUCUCAGCUUCCUCUGUAGUGGGAUUCCAGGACUGUGUCAUUGUAUCUUGUCUCAGAUUUACACAGGGAUAAGGGUCAUUUCUUAAAUCAGCAUUGAUAUUAAAAGUAUUGACAUCAAGGAGUCUGCUGAAGCAACCCUGAGACUGCACUGUCUUUACCCCCAUUUUUCAGAUGAGGACAUUGAUACCAAGGGAGAUGAAAUUUGCUCAGACUAGAAAGGAGCAGGGCUUGAUUAAAACUAAAGUUUGUCACCUUUUUCUACAGGCUGUCUCCUAUAGCCCAGGGGAUGUUGUUAUUUGUCCUAUAGAGGGAUGUGUAAGACUCAGGUUGUGGACCUGAGUGCUUAUAGACACAUCUCAUGAAUUCAAAUAGAGUCACUAUGUCAAACAGGGCAUUAGGAUUCUAACUUGGCCACAACUGUGACUUCAUGGUGUCACCAAAAGGACACAUUUACUCAAGCUUAUAAUGGUGAAAUAAAAACCACAUCUCCCAGGCCAUUUCAGUGUGCUUAAUUGAAUCACAGAAUUACACGCUGCUUCUUCAUUAUGUGAUCAUUGCUUCAGAUCAGUUGACUCCUGGGCUCUCUCUCAGCGCAAUUGUGGUUUCUUUGCUUUCUGAAUUGUCUGGGAGUUUAAUUACCAUAGAUUCUCCUUCCUGUGUCAAGCCUAAAUUGAAGCUCAUUAUAUACAAUUAUUCUUGCUCUUUCUUCCAUCUUUGGCUGUACCAUCAGCCAUUAUGUCUGCUGUUCAGCCUGUCUGGCUGUACAACUGAGGAUGUCAUUUGGUAAGGUGGGCAGUUUAAAGGGAAGUAGGGACGAAGAAAAAUGUUAGGCUUGCCCGAUGGGCUUAUUUCACGUUUGGAACAGAUGUUACACGGAAAUUAGAAUCUAAAACAAGCAUUAGUACUUUGAAACAAUGUUAAAUGAUGUUGAAUUAAAGUCAUCAUUCU
rnacentral:lncRNA from 1 species